rnacentral:rRNA from 1 species
AUUGAACGCUGGCGGAAUGCUUUACACAUGCAAGUCGAACGGCAGCACGGGGCAACCUGGUGGCGAGUGGCGAACGGGUGAGUAAUACAUCGGAACGUGCCCAAUCGUGGGGGAUAACGUAGCGAAAGUUACGCUAAUACCGCAUACGAUCUACGGAUGAAAGCGGGGGAUCGCAAGACCUCGCGCGAAUGGAGCGGCCGAUGUCAGAUUAGGUAGUUGGUGGGGUAAAGGCUCACCAAGCCGACGAUCUGUAGCUGGUCUGAGAGGACGACCAGCCACACUGGGACUGAGACACGGCCCAGACUCCGACGGGAGGCAGCAGGGGGGAAUUUUGGACAAUGGGCGCAAGCCUGAUCCAGCCAUUCCGCGUGCAGGAUGAAGGCCUUCGGGUUGUAAACUGCUUUUGUACGGAACGAAACGGCUCUCUCUAAUACAGGGGGCUAAUGACGGUACCGUAAGAAUAAGCACCGGCUAACUACGUGCCAGCCGCCGCCGUAAUAC